AGGGAAACUGCCCUAUGGCUAUGGGCCCGGAGGAGUGGCUGGUGUAGCGGGCAAAGCUGGUUACCCAACAGGGACAGGGGUUGGCCCCCAGGCAGCAGCAGCAGCGGCAGCUAAAGCAGCAGCAAAGUUAGGUGCUGGAGCAGCCGGAGUCCUCCCUGGUGUUGGAGGGGCCGGUGUUCCUGGCGUGCCUGGGGCAAUUCCUGGAAUCGGAGGCAUCGCAGGCGUUGGGACUCCAGCUGCAGCUGCAGCUGCAGCUGCAGCUGCAGCAGCAGCCGCUAAGGCAGCCAAGUAUGGAGCUGCUGCAGGCUUAGUGCCUGGUGGGCCAGGCUUUGGCCCGGGAGUAGUUGGUGUCCCAGGAGCUGGCGUUCCAGGUGUUGGUGUCCCAGGAGCUGGGAUUCCAGUUGUCCCAGGUGCUGGGAUCCCAGGUGCUGCGGUUC
rnacentral:lncRNA from 1 species